GAGAGUCCUGGCAAGGGCGCAGAAACGACACAGCCUCGGGAUAACGUGAUGAUUCCCCAGGGGAUGAAGUCUCCCGAGGAUUUGGUGAAACGGCGACUCCCCACUGGAGCAAGCUCAAACGGCCGAAUCGAUCUCUCAUCGUCGGCGGGUAGAGUGCGAUAGUCGAAUGCCAUCACCGUCGCAAGACGGGAACAGAAAGGGGCUUAUGUCCUUCACCU
rnacentral:RNase_P_RNA from 1 species